AAGGGGUUGCCAGAUACUUCUAUUUCCUCAGCAGAUCCACUUGACGACGGGAAAAGAGCCCUCACGGCACGGAUGAGUGUCAUUGUGCUUGUGCAUGGCAACCAAAUAAGAUGCAGCUGCUUGAGAGGCACACUGAGAUUCUGAUCAUACAUGUUCCAGAGCAGCAGGAUCAUUUUCAAAUGCAUUUCAUUUGACAAAGGAGUCAUUGAAGGAGGGACAGAGCCCCCCUCUGGUCGCUCAGCUUCCUUUCGGACAGUCAUCGUGGUGAAUUUGACCCGUGGGCCAUUCCUAUGGUGGCCAGUCGGUGUGUGGCCAUGGGCAACGGUUCCAUAAAAGCCCCGAGGGCUGAGGAGAACAGCCGCCAGGCCUCUAUCCGCACAGACCCUCCCGCUAUGGACACAGACGUCCUCAGGUUGCGAAUUGCCCACCUGGAAGCGGAGCUGACCCGUCGGGACCACGAGUUUCGAGCCCAGGAGCUUCAGUUACAGCAUCUUCAGAAGCAACUGGACGCCAAGGUCUCUCAGAUUGACAAGCUGCAGGAUGCUAUUGGCUACAACAACAUCCUGGGCCUCUCCCCACCGGCCUGCUGCCACCACAGCCACCGCUGCUUCAGCGCCAUCAACCAGAGUCCCAGCCGCUUUCACAGGGUGGCCGUGGAGGUCCACCGAAGGCUCAAAGCAAAGGAAGGUGUGUCCGCUGAACCCACCUCUGAUAACUUCUGCGGAGGCCUGAGGGCAGAACACGGCUUCGUUGCGAGGGUUGUCCAAAAAGACUCACACACCAAGAAGCUGAUCAGCGACGCAAUGAUAAACAACGACUUUCUGAAGAAGUUGGAGCCGCAGCACAUGAGGGAGAUGGUGGACUGCAUGUACGAGAAGGUUUACACAGAGGGUCAACUGGUCAUCCAGGAGGGGGAACCUGGAAACUACCUCUACGUACUGGCAGACGGCUUGCUGGAGGUCGUCCAGAGUGGAAAGCAGCUGGGUGAGAUGCGUCCUGGCACGGCGUUCGGAGAACUCGCCAUAUUGUACAACUGUAAGAGAACAGCCACCGUCAAAGCUGUGUCCCAGUCUCACAUCUGGGCACUGGACCGCCAGACCUUUCAGAUCAUCAUGAUGCAGACCACGCAGGCCAGACACGAGGAAUACUUCAGCUUCUUGCGCAGUGUGUCUCUGCUCCGCGACCUGCCGGAGAAGAAAUUAGCCAAGAUUGUUGAUUGUGUUGAAGUCGACUGUUUUGAAAAAGGGGAGUAUAUUAUCCGAGAGGGUGAAGAGGGGAACACCUUCUUUAUUAUUGCAAAGGGAGAGGUCUUAGUCACUCAGCGCACAGAGGGGUUUGCUGAACCACAGGAAAUCAAGACGCUGGGAGUCGGAGACUACUUUGGAGAGAAAGCUCUCAUCAGUGAGGACGUUCGCUCAGCCAACAUCAUUUGCAAUGAGAGCGACACACAUUGCCUGGUGGUGGACAGAGACAAUUUCAACCAAAUGGUGGGAACAUACGACGAGCUUCAGGCGUGCCUGAAGGAAUAUGUGGAGGAGCUUUCCAGGAGCGACGAGAGAAGAAAUGCCCUGCCCCACUCACCUCAGAUCGACUCUGCAGAGGCCCAGGAGCUGAGGAGGCUGCGGGAGAGGAUCGCUCUCCUGCCUCCACACCAGCCGUUCCAGGAGCUCGAGGUCGUAGCCACACUGGGCAUGGGCGGAUUUGGACGAGUGGAGCUGGUGAAGCUGAAGGACGAGGACACCGCCUUUGCCCUGAAGUGCAUUAAGAAGAGGCACAUCGUGGACACCAGACAGCAGGAGCACAUCUACUCGGAGAAAAACAUCCUGCAGCAAACAAACUCGGGGUUUAUCAUACGGCUAUUCCGAACAUUUCGGGAUGACAGGUUUGUCUACAUGCUGCUGGAGGCGUGUCUUGGGGGAGAGCUGUGGACUGUGCUGCGGGACAUGAGCUAUUUCGAUGAGCCCAAAGCCAGGUUCUGUACUGGUUGCGUCUUAGAGGCGUUCGAUUACCUCCACACUAUGGGCGUCGUCUACAGAGACCUGAAACCUGAAAACCUUCUGCUGGACGCUGAGGGUUAUGUUAAAAUGGCAGACUUUGGCUUCGCUAAGAAGAUUGGCCUCGGAAAGAAGACCUGGACGUUCUGUGGGACUCCGGAGUAUGUGGCCCCCGAGGUCAUCAUGAACAAAGGCCACGACUUUGGAGCCGAUUGCUGGUCCUUGGGAAUCCUCAUAUUUGAACUGCUCACUGGCAACCCACCCUUUGCUGGCUCCGACCCUAUAAAGAUUUACACCAUGGUCCUCCAUGGCAUCGAGAAGGUGGACUUCCCCAAGAGAAUAGGCAAGCGUCCAGACGACCUCAUCAGGAGACUGUGCAAGCUGAGCCCAGUGGAGAGGCUGGGGAACAAGAAGAACGGCAUCAUUGACAUAAAGAAGCACAAUUGGUUCCGGGGCUUCAACUGGGAAGGGCUGAGGCGCCGCAAGCUGCCGUCCCCGCUGAGGAGAGAGCUGAAGGGGCCGAUGGAUCACAGUCACUUUGACAUCUUUCCUCCUGACACCGAGGAGGCCCCUGAUGAGCUGUCCGGCUGGGACAAAGACUUCUGAGGAACGCUGAUCAUUCGGCCUCCGAGCGCCGGCGGUGGAUCCGCUUCCCCCAAGCCGCGGUUUGGUCCAACACACGGGGGGAACAGAGCACGGCUUCUUUUCACUGGUGCCAUUUUUUAACGCAAAAGGACGAGACAUGGGCAAAAAGGAAAAAAAAUUCAACAAAAUCAACAAAUCAAAGGACACUUAAGUGUGGGCUCCAACACAGAUGGCAUUUCAUACUUCUUUUACAAAUAUAGAGGAAAGAGAAAGCAGGACAGAACUGUUAGAACAUGAGAAUCUGUGUAUAUGUAUUUCGUGUGAUUCUUUUCUGUUGUUGCAGUGAUGUUUCUGUGAGUCCUAAAUCCGUCACUGGUAUUUCUCUUCCUUACUAGCCAUGUAAUUCUAAAUAAGCCCAGAGUCACAUAUAUUUUGGGGGGAUAUAACAGCUGUCCAAAUAUUGUAGAAUAUACCGAAAGUACAAGUAAUUGGAUCCAAAUUCCAAAUGACUAUCUUCAUCAGUGAGGUGUGUCUUUGCUCGGAGAUAUUAUUUAUAAAUAAUUAGAAUCCAACAAAUCGAGGGAGUGGGGCUUGAAGGAAACCAAAACCACGAGCUGUCUUGAAGUAGUGAAACCAAAAAAACAAACAAUAGCCUGACUGGUUAUUUGGGUCUGGGCGAUAUAUGAAGCAGAGUUUACAGACAAGACAGCGCUCUAUGUUGAAUCUGUAGCGUAUUCCUCACCUGUAGAGUUGUGGGCAGGACAUCUUCAGCGAGGCGGAGGAAAGUCCCAGCCGGCUCUGGUCCCUGAACUUCGUUUUCCUCACCAGGUCUUUGACUCGGCCCCAAGUGUAGUUUUCGCUCAGCUGCACAGAAAGACACGGAAGAAGGAAAAACCACCAUAUACACGUUACUUUCAGCCGGAACUCCUUUCCGUGCCACCCUCGGUACAUGCGGGGUCAGGUGGUUAAUCUUUUGCUUGUUUUGGAAUAAAGACUCUCAUCUCUCAUCCACAAGGGUGGACCCACAGUCGAACGGCUCUCUGAAGCCAUUAGCAGCAGACGCACUGAAGAACUACCAGCAGCGGUCAGUGAUGAGCGGCUCUCGGUGUGUCAGAGGCCCAUAGCAUCAACAAGUUUACUGGGUUGAUAAGGUCUCCUGUGCAGUGACCGUCUUGAGAGAAGAUCUCCAGCACCAUUAAAGUCAACACCGGGGUCCAGGGGACUCCCACUGGUGCCGAAACAGGACAAUCCAACGUCUUUCAUGAACCUUUUUAUCUUCAUGAACUGCUGCUGUUUGUCUCCGAGUAUAGUAUAUCAUACAUAAGGGGAGACCUUGACCCCGCCUGGUGCGUUACAUAACGACGACCGUGCCAACAACGCUAUUCACUGAUGAAGACCAUGCGAUGAAGUGGAACGCUAUGGGAAAAGCUGGCAAUUGGACAUCGACUCAAUAUUUAUUCAUCUAUCCUUUGGAAAGAGUGAAAAAAAAAGAAGAAGCAUGUUAUUGUGUUUGGAGCAGUAUUAUCUUUCCUUCUGCUUUGGUUGCUGUCAGUUCCCACAGCUGAGGCCCACGCUGAGGGAGAAUCACCGCUCCACACCCCGAGAAAGCAUUUCGUUCGUCAUGGGUCAUCAGCGGGGAGUUUUGCCGCUCCAUGAAGACAGUAAACAGAGGUACUGGAUGUUGGGCAACUUUGAAUCUAUUUUAACACCCGACUCGGCAAGUUUUAGACACUUUUUUUUCAUUUUCCUGUCCAGUGCCCAUGUUGUUCGGAUAGGUGUCCAUCUAUCCCAUGGGUGUGUUGGUGCUAAAAUUGGCUGCGUGACUGACCAACAAAACCCUGGCCUGAAGUCUAUUUCAAGGCUGAUUAUUAAGAUAGUGGUGUGCAGCUAUACUGGCAGGUUCACAGCACAUCUACACUGCUUGUUACACGCACACGGAUAAUCUGCUCAAGCUUCUUUUCGAACUACCCGGCACAUCCAGCAAUGUGCACGUGCACCUGGCUUUUAUGGGGAUUGGGAGAUGGCCCUCAUUCCGGUUUAUUGCACGCUACGCCCAAAACACACCCAAAGUUGAUUGAGGGAUAACAACCCCUUUUGAACCGUGCACCUGGUGUGGACAUCUUUCCCCCCCCCACCGUUAAACUAGCAAAAGUAGAUUUGGACACUUGCAGCUGUGGACCAUGUGCUUGGAAUCUGUACUAUAGUGACCUAAAUUAUUCACGGUGACUUACAGUAUUGAUACUAACAAACAAAAUACAACAACAACAACAACAUGUGUUACACAAUGGGAGAAUGACUGUCAUUGUUGGAGUGGGCCUUUAUAACUUGUGCACAUGACUCACCCUGCGCUGGGGGAGGGAGAGCCGUUCGGCGCUGUCCCCGAGGAAGUGGACCUCCCCCUCGGUGUAGCUCCUUCGGUUCAGGCCUCUCCUCCAAAGUGGGACGGGUGUCAAAGCCUCACCAAUCACGUCUGAAACACAAACCGUAAACAAGCAGCAUUAACAGAGUGUGCGUGGGAGCGAUUGCUUCGGGUGAGGCAGUUCGUUCCUUGUACAGUUAUCCGGUAGUCCACCUAAGAGGCCCUGAAGUAUGUACUUUGUACUGUUUUUUUGAAUAUUUGCACUUUCCUGAAAUCAAAACGCCUUGUCUUUGAUCGUCUUUUGGGAAAUUUGUAUCUUAAAAAGCUAAAAAUGUUCAUCUGGUCUCUUUGGGGAAUAUGUCAACAUGACUUUCCAUUUCAAUUCUAUGCAUUCUGGUUCAUUGUGUUACUAGUGUUUGCUUUUGGGCUCACUCCAUAGCAUGAGUUGAUAAUACAUAUCUCGUCGAUCUGCUGUUUUGGUGCUCGUCAAGUAAUAUACAGUCCUUUUUUUUGACUGAAAACAGCUGUUUGCUAAGCGUGAUGAGGCGCUCAUUUCCAAACCUACAUACCGAGUAGGGCUUGACCCAGUUCAGUCCACGGAUAUCACUACAAAAGCCAGUUCCAGUCAAGGAAGGGGCCCGGCGUGUACAAAUAUGGUCACUCUCGACUCUGCACAUACUUUUAAUUACAGUGUUCAAAGCUGUUGCUCAUUUGUGAGGUGAAGCGGUCACGUGCUGCGAAGGGAGGGAUUGCUGUUAUGACAGACUGUGAUAGAAAUCAGCACAGACCAGAUUUUUUUUUUGUUUUCUGUCCAUCCCGCUCCCCAUUUUCUUCCAUUAACAUGUAAACACCCACCCACGUACUCCCCCCCCCCCUCCUUAUCACAUGCGCCUACUACAGUUUCUACUGCUCCUGGCACGACCCCUACUUCCGUCUCUCCUUAGCUGCUAUCAAACGUGCGCUGAAGUCCGGUCAUUUUUAUGAACUUUUCCGAGAUAGGCUGUUUGUGAGAACGCAAAAAUGUCCGCAAAGGUUACUCUUUACUUAUCCCGCCAACCCCCUGGGAACAUUUCAGGAAAAUGCCCGAGGGAGCCCAUGUAAGAAUAGAGCAGAACAAAAACUUUCAUAAGAUUCAUUGAAAGGUAGUAGGCGCUCAACCCAAGUGCCACCCCUCGGCUGAAUGUUACGGAAACGUUCCUGCCGUUGUGAACACAAUUCAGACUCAAACUCGGACAAUGGGUUCCAGACAUUUUCCGGAGUUCAUGUCUGACAACAGCUCAAGGUAAGGAAACCCCAAAACUCUUGCGAUGGCUUCAUCUCAUGUUUAUAGUGUGUAAGUACAUGAAUAUAUACAUGGAUUGAUUGUGGAAUUCUGAAUUGCCCAAUUCAUCAGCUGGGCUGUUUGCGUGGAAACGACCCAAACCUUCUGUAGAUGGUAUGAGACAGAAAAGCUUCACUAUAUGGCCUCUGAAGAACUCGCCUCUUUUCUGCACCUAAUUAGGGCCUCCCUUCUCCAUUACUUCUAAACCUCUCCUCCAGAUCCCGUUUCCCGUCCAUCAGAGGAAGAACCCAGGCAUUCCAGAGUCCACGGGACGUCAUGUGCUCCCGCCGGGAGGCCAGGAAUGCCGCCUGGGUCUCGCCUCGAGUCAUAAUUUCAUCUUCCCUGCGGGACCGCCGAGCUGUCGCUCACCACUGCUGUCCACAGGCAACGCGAGCGGCUCCGAAAAAACACAAUGGUCAUGAUAACAUUAACUCAGCAGCCGGCGGCGUUCCCGAAAAAGACCAACAUCACCUGGAGCAGGGGUCUAAUGACAAGGCAAACACCGGGGCAGAAAAACACAGUGGGGUUGCUCCAGGGGUCAGGUUGUGAAACGCGAGCGCCGCCGAAGCUUUUUUAAAUUACAUAGCGAUUAGAUCCAUUUCAGCAGCGUGUCACGCUGAAAUUAAUAUGUGGGUGUGCGUUUGUAUAUUUGUUGACACAUCCCACUGGAGCAGGUUAUUAACUGCUGAUCCUACUAGCAAUUUAAUGCUAAAUGUUAAUUAAGGGGUGGUUUUGGUAACCUAUGGGGGAUUCGGCUGCAUAUCAUCGACUCAGACCAAGCAGGACUGUAUGUCUGUAUAGAAUCUGUGACUCUGACGGGGGCCAGUCCACUAAAGAGUGAAGCUAUUACAGUAUCUUUCUAGCCCAGUGAUUCUACCGUAUUAGAUGAAGCUACAUCUGAACUCGCUUACCUAAUCAAACGGUUCUCUUGGCACUGUCUGGUUCAGACGCACCGUCAUCUAUCACCGACUAUAAAUCUUCUGUCACAAAGUCAAACUGCGAGCGCCUGUCAGAUCACCCGGCAGUGUCUUCUUUAUUUCGGUGGAGGAUUUCGGAAAGCCUGCGUCAGACAACUCCCAAAACUGACAGUACAACUGUCACCCCCACUUAUGCAGCGACUGGGCCAGUGUGUAAGUGUGAGGCGCUCCCCUCUGUCACUUUUUGCGCGAACUGCUGAGGGCAACACGACAAAUGACUCUGAGGAAAGACCGCCUGGGACCAGCUGUCGGGAUCCCCAUUUGUACACUUAAUCGCAUCAAGAUGAUAAAAAGACGCACAAGGGACACACUGGAAUGAAGGUCACACAGGCGGUGCGAAGCAACCACUGGGGGGGUAUAAUGGCAGACAGAAAGAGUUACAUUUAGAUGUAGUCCAGUUAUAUUCUUCCAUUUUGUUUUCUCUUUCAAAUUAAUUUGACCAACCUCGGGUGGGAUCAUCACUCUCCCCAAGCUUCUCCUGAUGCUACACUAUGGAGCAUGUGUUCCUCGCAUACACAAAUGAAAGAGUUGGUUGAAAAAAAAAAAAUGCUCACCCAGAAGAUGGUUUUGUUAAUGAGAGGGAAAAUGAAACCAAAGAAGAGAAUACUGUAAAAUGAAGCCAUGCGUUAUUACCUCCCCUGGCUGGUACGAGAGGAUGCUGGGUGACCUCCGGGAUGGUGGACAGGUCAGACAGGGUUCCGCUGGGAGACAAACACUCACUUCUGGAGUGUCUCUUCUGAACCUGCUGGAAGCUCAGGCUGGCGGCUCCGCAGCUGCAGUGCUGCUGGAAAAAGUCCUGUAAAAAGGCCAACGGGGAAUAUUCUUUACUCACCAUGUAUCAUAACAUUAGAUUGUGCAGAUUUUCAACUGGUCGCCUUUUUGUUUAAAAAAUUGAUUCUGUGUUUCUCUUAAAUGAUCUGCUACCUGAUGACAUGGGUUACAUUGAGUGUCGGAGUUGUUGAUUGUAUCUAAAAUUAGCGGUUACAUUUGAAUUGCUUCGGGGUGCCACUUCAUUUAGCUGAGUAUUAGAGGAGGUGGGAUGGAGAAGCAAUAAAAUCUUAUAAAGGUGAAAACUGCGCAAAUGCCGGCGGCCAACAGCUGGGUCACGUGGAGGAGAUUAAAGGCAAGGGAUGAGAAACGUCUUCUCCCCGCCCCCCCCCCUCCUUUCCUGUUGUAUGAAAUAAUGUUUUUACUGUAGUCGCCCCCGAAGGAAGAAAAAUAUAUAGUCAUUUCUUAAUAUCCUAAUUUUUGUCAAAACAUUUCUUUUUCCCCUGCUCUACUCUUUAACCUUUCCCCUGCUGCGGAGGCAGGGUUCUAAUGGGCCUCUGGAAAAACAGCCCACACACACACACACACACACACACACACACACACACGGACACGUUUUCCCUCCUGGUAUCAACACAGCUUUUCUUACAUAACCGCUGUUCAUUUAUAUUCUACAUGAGCAUCGGGGGAAGAUGACAGCUCGCCACAGUCAUGCCUCAUCCUUUUUUUGUUAUUGUGAAACCUCCAGGUAUUCAGGGCUUGACCGCAAAGGGCCUGCAGAGGCCAACGCAAGUAUAUUUUUCACAUAAGCGAGAUAUGGGACAUGAGUAAGAUUAAUGUUGUUUUUUGUAUUUUUUCUGUAUGUAUAAUGGUUCCCUUGAAGCAAUACACUGUACAACCAACUGAGGAAGAAACCACGUGUGGUCCCAUGGACAGAGCAUCGGGCAAACAUCCACGGAUGGUUGAGGCACAGUCUCAGUAGGCAACACAGUCGAUAACCUGGUCAACCAAAGAGCAGCAGGCACUGAACAAUAACAACUGACACCGUCACGGGGUGAAGGCCAAAAUGUGACCCGGUGUAAAGAAACGGAACUGGAAUUGACAGUGCUGAAAGAAGCCUCUGUACAAUGCACUCACAUCACCCCUUUGAUGCUUUUCAUUUAUUUUAUUCUAUCUGAUUUGUAAGCGGCCAUCUACAAUAUAUUUCACCAGAGUUGGUUUGAUGCUACUUGGUUAAGAAUGUUAUGUUAUAAUGUAUUAUAAAGUUGAAAGGAGUGCUUGUAUGAAUUAAAACUAGUGACACUGAGCCUCCCCUUUCUUCUUUUCCUCUGUCCCUCUCUUUGGCUCAGUUUCUUUGAAAGCUUUGAAGUCUUAGACUCCUGCUGGCUCCAGAGUUCAGCUGUUCCGGCCUCUGAGCCCGAAACUGACUGCACUCGUGCCAGUCCAGGAUUUCUGAAUUUCCAAUUGUGCCAAGGCCGUUAAGAAGAAAGUCUCUUGUUUGGAGAACCCCCUGUAUGUGCCACUAGGGUGAUGUUUAUACUGCCAGAAAUGACAGGUUUGUAUUAGAUACUCAGUUGUAAAAUUAACAAUUCUGUAUUUUUGUUAUAGCCCAGCUGUCAUCCUGUGUAACACAGAGAUUAUAACCCACAAACCACACUGUUAUUUUGUUGUACAAUAGAAGCGUUGACUUUUCUAGCUCGUACGUAAAUGUAAGUACAGUACAA